rnacentral:rRNA from 1 species
CCUACGGGUGGCAGCAGUGGGGAAUAUUGGACAAUGGGGGCAACCCUGAUCCAGCCAUGCCGCGUGUGUGAAGAAGGCCCUCGGGUUGUAAAGCACUUUCAGUGAGGAAGAACGCCUGGUGGUUAAUACCCAUCAGGAAAGACAUCACUCACAGAAGAAGCACCGGCUAACUCCGUGCCAGCAGCCGCGGUAAUACGGAGGGUGCGAGCGUUAAUCGGAAUUACUGGGCGUAAAGCGCGCGUAGGUGGCUUGAUAAGCCGGUUGUGAAAGCCCCGGGCUCAACCUGGGAACGGCAUCCGGAACUGUCAAGCUAGAGUGCAGGAGAGGAAGGUAGAAUUCCCGGUGUAGCGGUGAAAUGCGUAGAGAUCGGGAGGAAUACCAGUGGCGAAGGCGGCCUUCUGGACUGACACUGACACUGAGGUGCGAAAGCGUGGGUAGCAAACAGGAUUAGAUACCCUCGUAGUC